rnacentral:rRNA from 1 species
GUGGGGAAUUUUGGACAAUGGGCGCAAGCCUGAUCCAGCAAUGCCGCGUGCAGGAAGAAGGCCUUCGGGUUGUAAACUGCUUUUGUACGGAACGAAACGGUCCUGGUUAAUACCUGGGGCUAAUGACGGUACCGUAAGAAUAAGCACCGGCUAACUACGUGCCAGCAGCCGCGGUAAUACGUAGGGUGCGAGCGUUAAUCGGAAUUACUGGGCGUAAAGCGUGCGCAGGCGGUACUGUAAGACAGGCGUGAAAUCCCCGGGCUCAACCUGGGAAUUGCGCAUGUGACUGCAGUGCAGGAGUACGGCAGAGGGGGAUGGAAUUCCGCGUGUAGCAGUGAAAUGCGUAGAUAUGCGGAGGAACACCGAUGGCGAAGGCAGUCCCCUGGGCCUGUACUGACGCUCAUGCACGAAAGCGUGGGGAGCAAACAGGAUUAGAUACCCUGGUAGUCC